AGAGUUUGAUCCUGGCUCAGGACAAACGCUGGCGGCGUGCCUAAUGCAUGCAAGUCGCACGCAGAGUGCUUGCACUCUGAGUGGCGCACGGCUGAGGAAGACGUGGGUACCUGCCUCCCAGUGGGGGAUAACAGCCCGAAAGGACUGCUAAUCCCGCAUACGUUUGGUUUCGACCAAAGAAAGCCUUACGGCGCUGGGAGAGGGGCCCGCGGCCCAUCACGGUCGUUGGCGGGGUAACGGCCCACCAAGCCUUUGACGGGUAGCUGGUCUGUGAGGACAACCAGCCAGACUGGGACUGAGAUACGGCCCAGACUCCUACGGGAGGCAGCAGCAAGGAAUUUUCCACAAUGGGCGCAAGCCUGAUGGAGCAACGCCGCGUGCAGGACGACGGCCUUCGGGUUGUAAACUGCUUUUUGGGGGGAAGACACAGGACGGUACCCCCGGAAUAAGCCUCGGCUAACUCUGUGCCAGCAGCCGCGGUAAGACAGAGGAGGCAAGCGUUGUCCGGACUUACUGGGCGUAAAGCGUCCGCAGGUGGUCGUGCAAGUGCCGUGUGAAAGCGCUCGGCUUAACUGAGCGAGGCCAGGGCAGACUGCUCGACUCGAGGUCGGGAGAGGUCGGUGGAAUUGCCGGUGUAGUGGUGAAAUGCGUAGAGAUCGGCAGGAACACCCAAGGGGAAGCCAGCCGACUGGCCCGCACCUGACACUCAGGGACGACAGCGUGGGGAGCGAACCGGAUUAGAUACCCGGGUAGUCCACGCCGUAAACGAUGGACACUGGUCCUCUGGGCGGUACCCAUUCCGCUUGGGGGGCUGAGCUAACGCAGAAGUGUCCCGCCUGGGAACUACGAGCGCAAGCUUAAAACUCAAAGGAAUUGACGG
rnacentral:rRNA from 1 species